rnacentral:rRNA from 1 species
UGGGGAAUUUUGGACAAUGGGCGAAAGCCUGAUCCAGCAAUGCCGCGUGUGUGAAGAAGGCCUUCGGGUUGUAAAGCACUUUUGUCCGGAAGGAAAUCCUUGGCUCUAAUACAGUCGGGGGAUGACGGUACCGGAAGAAUAAGCACCGGCUAACUACGUGCCAGCAGCCGCGGUAAUACGUAGGGUGCAAGCGUUAAUCGGAAUUACUGGGCGUAAAGCGUGCGCAGGCGGUUUGCUAAGACCGAUGUGAAAUCCCCGGGCUCAACCUGGGAACUGCAUUGGGUGACUGGCAGGCUAGAGUAUGGCAGAGGGGGGUAGAAUUCCACGUGUAGCAGUGAAAUGCGUAGAGAUGUGGAGGAAUACCGAUGGCGAAGGCAGCCCCCUGGGCCAAUACUGACGCUCAUGCACGAAAGCGUGGGGAGCAAACAGGAUUAGAUACCCUGGUAGUCCACGCCCUAAACGAUGUCAACUAGUUGUUGGGGAUUCAUUUCCUUAGUAACGUAGCUAACGCGUGAAGUUGACCGCCUGGGGAGUACGGUCGCAAGAUUAAAACUCAAAGGAAUUGACGGGGUCAUAGCUGUUUCCU